rnacentral:rRNA from 1 species
GACGAACGCUGGCGGCGUGCUUAACACAUGCAAGUCGAACGAAGAGCGAUGGAAGCUUGCUUCUAUCAAUCUUAGUGGCGAACGGGUGAGUAACGCGUAAUCAACCUGCCCUUCAGAGGGGGACAACAGUUGGAAACGACUGCUAAUACCGCAUACGAUCUAAUCUCGGCAUCGAGGAUAGAUGAAAGGUGGCCUCUACAUGUAAGCUAUCACUGAAGGAGGGGAUUGCGUCUGAUUAGCUAGUUGGAGGUGUAACGGCCCACCAAGGCGAUGAUCAGUAGCCGGUCUGAGAGGAUGAACGGCCACAUUGGGACUGAGACACGGCCCAGACUCCUACGGGAGGCAGCAGUGGGGAAUCUUCCGCAAUAGACGAAAGUCUGACGGAGCAACGCCGCGUGAGUGAUGACGGCCUUCGGGUUGUAAAGCUCUGUUAAUCGGGACGAAAGGCCUUCUUGCGAAUAGUGAGAAGGAUUGACGGUACCGGAAUAGAAAGCCACGGCUAACUACGUG